UGGGGAAUUUUUCGCAAUGGGGGAAACCCUGACGAAGCAACGCCGCGUGGAGGAUGAAGGCCUUCGGGUCGUAAACUCCUGUCGACCGGGACGAAAGUAGUCCAACCUAAUACGUCGGGCUAUCGACUGUACCGGUGGCGGAAGCCACGGCUAACUCUGUGCCAGCAGCCGCGGUAAUACAGAGGUGGCAAGCGUUGUUCGGAAUUACUGGGCGUAAAGGGCGCGUAGGCGGCCCGAUAAGUCCCGCGUGAAAGCCCCCGGCUCAACUGGGGAACGGCGCGGGAAACUAUCGGGCUUGAGUUCGGGAGAGGGAAGCGGAAUUCCGGGUGUAGCGGUGAAAUGCGUAGAUAUCCGGAGGAACACCGGUGGCGAAGGCGGCUUCCUGGACCGACACUGACGCUGAGGCGCGAAAGCUAGGGGAGCAAAC
rnacentral:rRNA from 1 species